GCUAUGGUGGUGAAUUGACCAUGACAUCUGUCACCACACUGAUUGCCAAGGUUGAUUCAGCUAUUCUAGCUAUCUACGCAGGAAUCCCCUUCCCCUCUCACCACUGAACAUGUAUACAUCCCCAAAGUGGCAAACUUAGUGGAGGAGGAUGACCUUUCUUGAUAAAGGGGGUCAUUUUCAGUUAAGGGUAUACAAGGAGUAGCUCUGUCCACUGUUAGAACCCCAAAACAAGCUUUCUAGGUCUGUAUGAAGGAGAAUGUAGGGUGGUCAGGUAUUCAAGAUUCUAGACACAUCCAUAUGUGGCAUUGGAUGUGGAUUUUCAAAAUAA
rnacentral:snRNA from 1 species